rnacentral:rRNA from 1 species
ACGAACGCUGGCGGCGUGCUUAACACAUUCCAGUCGCACGGAAAGGCCCUGCUUUUGUGGGGUGCUCGAGUGGCGAACGGGUGAGUAACACGUGAGUAACCUGCCCUUGACUUUGGGAUAACUUCAGGAAACUGGGGCUAAUACCGGAUAGGAGCUCCUGCUGCAUGGUGGGGGUUGGAAAGUUUCGGCGGUUGGGGAUGGACUCGCGGCUUAUCAGCUUGUUGGUGGGGUAGUGGCUUACCAAGGCUUUGACGGGUAGCCGGCCUGAGAGGGUGACCGGCCACAUUGGGACUGCGAUACGGCCCAGACUCCUACGGGAGGCAGCAGUGGGGAAUAUUGCACAAUGGGCGGAAGCCUGAUGCAGCAACGCCGCGUGCGGGAUGACGGCCUUCGGGUUGUAAACCGCUUUCGCCUGUGACGAAGCGUGAGUGACGGUAAUGGGUAAAGAAGCACCGGCUAACUACGUG